AAGGUACUCCCUCCAUUUCGAAUUAUUUGUCGCAGGUAUGGAUGUAUCUAGAUGUAUUUUAGUUCUAGAUAUAUCCAUUUCUGCGACGAGUAAUUUGGAACGAAGGGAGUAUCAA
rnacentral:pre_miRNA from 1 species